UUGGUGAUUGUGGCUGAUCUUCUUGGCUGAUUUCUCAGCCUUGAUCGACGGGGAGAUGAGAGUUUGACUCAUCUUCUACUUUGGGCUUGUGUACAUGGAGGCAUUCUUGGAGCUCGUGGAGGGGAGCAAAAUCGAGAUUAAGAAAGAGAGGGAAAGAAAGGAGAUGCUCCUCUUGAGCUCAUUUGGUUCUAUUCCCAAUUUAGUUUGCUUCCAAACUUGAGAAUUAAAGAAGUAGGAUAGAUAGUGUAGAAUAGGUGCAUGUUGAUUUUAUCACACUUGUAGGCAUGUACUAUUUCCAUCAUCCAUGUAUUUUAUUCCUCAAAUAACUAUCUAAUAAAAGCAUAGUUUUUACUUUUA